rnacentral:rRNA from 1 species
UACGUAGGGUCCGAGCGUUGUCCGGAAUUAUUGGGCGUAAAGAGCUCGUAGGCGGUUUGUCGCGUCUGCUGUGAAAUCCCGAGGCUCAACCUCGGGCCUGCAGUGGGUACGGGCAGACUGGAGUGCGGUAGGGGAGAAUGGAAUUCCUGGUGUAGCGGUGAAAUGCGCAGAUAUCAGGAGGAACACCGGUGGCGAAGGCGGAUCUCUGGGCCGAUACUGACGCUGAGGAGCGAAAGCGUGGGGAGCGAACAGG